rnacentral:rRNA from 1 species
AGUCCACAUCGACGGGGAGGUUUGGCACCUCGAUGUCGGCUCAUCACAUCCUGGGGCUGUAGUAGGUCCCAAGGGUUGGGCUGUUCGCCCAUUAAAGUGGUACGCGAGCUGGGUUCAGAACGUCGUGAGACAGUUCGGUCCCUAUCCGUCGCAGGCGUAGGAAAUUUGAGAAGACCUGUCCUUAGUACGAGCGGACCGGGAUGGACGUACCUCUGGUGUACCAGUUGUUCUGCCAAGGGCAUGGCUGGGUAGCUAUGUACGGAAUGGAUAAGCGCUGAAAGCAUCUAAGCGCGAAGCCAACUUCAAGAUAAGAUUUCCCACCGCAAGGGUAAGACCCCAGAAAGACUAUCUGGUUG